UACGAUACUGCCAGCCAUCAUACGCCCAAAGGACGUUUGUGCAUGGCUAGCGAGAUAAAGUC
rnacentral:sRNA from 1 species